AUUGAACGCUGGCGGCAGGCCUAACACAUGCAAGUCGAGCGGAUGAAGGGAGCUUGCUCCUGGAUUCAGCGGCGGACGGGUGAGUAAUGCCUAGGAAUCUGCCUGGUAGUGGGGGAUAACGUCCGGAAACGGGCGCUAAUACCGCAUACGUCCUGAGGGAGAAAGUGGGGGAUCUUCGGACCUCACGCUAUCAGAUGAGCCUAGGUCGGAUUAGCUAGUUGGUGGGGUAAAGGCCUACCAAGGCGACGAUCCGUAACUGGUCUGAGAGGAUGAUCAGUCACACUGGGACUGAGACACGGUCCAGACUCCUACGGGAGGCAGCAGUGGGGAAUAUUGGACAAUGGGCGAAAGCCUGAUCCAGCCAUGCCGCGUGUGUGAAGAAGGUCUUCGGAUUGUAAAGCACUUUAAGUUGGUAGGAAGGGCAGUAAGUUAAUACCUAGCUGUUUUGACGUUACCAACAGAAUAAGCACCGGCUAACUUCGUG
rnacentral:rRNA from 1 species